UACAGAGGUCUCAAGCGUUGUUCGGAUUCAUUGGGCGUAAAGGGUGCGUAGGCGGCGCGGUAAGUCGGGUGUGAAAUCUCGGAGCUUAACUCCGAAACUGCAUUUGAUACUGCCGUGCUUGAGGACUGGAGAGGAGACUGGAAUUUACGGUGUAGCGGUGAAAUGCGUAGAUAUCGUGAGGAAGACCAGUGGCGAAGGCGGGUCUCUGGACAGUUCCUGACACUGAGGCACGAAGGCCAGGGGAGCAAACGGG
rnacentral:rRNA from 1 species